AAGCCCAACAUGCCGAGUCCCUAAUGAGGGUACGGAGGAACCGAUUUUGGGGGUGAAUCCCCUUAUACAACGAUCGAGGGUGUUGAGGAGUUUUCAGUUCAACCAAAUACUUGGACUUGAAAGUAAUGGUAUAACCCUUGUUUUUCAGUGCUUAGGUUACAAGCACUGGUUUUCGUAAGGUAAGGGGUAGGGAUUUCCUUGCCCGAACCCGACAGCUAACUCCGGAGGCAAAAGGAGAGGAGAA
rnacentral:sRNA from 2 species